UAGGGAAUCUUCCGCAAUGGACGCAAGUCUGACGGAGCAACGCCGCGUGAGUGAAGAAGGAUUUCGGUUCGUAAAACUCUGUUGUUAGAGAAGAACAGCGCAUAGAGUAACUGUUAUGCGUGUGACGGUAUCUAACCAGAAAGCCACGGCUAACUACGUGCCAGCAGCCGCGGUAAUACGCAGGUCCCGAGCGUUGUCCGGAUUUAUUGGGCGUAAAGCGAGCGCAGGCGGUUAGAAAAGUAUGAAGUGAAAGGCAGUGGCUCAACCAUUGAAGGCUUUGGAAACUGAUUAACUUGAGUGCAGAAGGGGAGAGUGGAAUUCCAUGUGUAGCGGUGAAAUGCGUAGAUAUAUGGAGGAACACCGGUGGCGAAAGCGGCUCUCUGGUCUGUAACUGACGCUGAGGCUCGAAAGCGUGGGGAGCGAACAGG
rnacentral:rRNA from 1 species